AGGAAGACGCCUCGGUUGUAACUGCUUUCUUCUGGGACGAGAUUUGGACGGUACCAGAGGAAGAAGCCCCGGCUAACUACGUGC
rnacentral:rRNA from 1 species